CCGGGGCAUUUUUCAGAGAUGUUUUCCUCCUUUCGGGACCUAUGACACAGGUGUGCAGACUCUCUUCACAUCGUGUGGUGUGAUAUUUGGGGUAUAAUCCCCCCAAGCGCGCCACCCUUUUUUUUUUCUCUGCACGAUUUGGUGGGGACCCCUAAGGGGACUGCCGGGGAAAAACCGGAGGAAGGUGGGGAUUCCUCAAAUUCAUCAUCGCCCUUUUGACUGGGGCUACCCACCUGCUACAAUGGAAGGACCAAAGAGAAGCCAGCUCGGGGGGGGAAACAAACCCACAAAACCCGGCCCUAGUCCGGAUCGGACUCUCCAACUGGACUCCAGGAAGCCGGAAUGGUAAGAAAUGGUGGUAUCA
rnacentral:rRNA from 1 species